rnacentral:sRNA from 1 species
CUGGCUAUAGAUGCAGCUUGGUUUUAUGUAAAAGCACCACGAAGUCGUUUUUAGUACCUCGUUCUGUUUCAUAACUACCCUGCCUAUCUCAGCUCAAGCCAUACAAGGCAAACUUAUAGACAACGAGGUUUUAAGACAUGUCCAGAAGCACUGGUAAAGUAAAAUGGUUCAACGAGACUAAAGGCUUUGGUUUCAUUGAGCAGGAUUCCGGCCCAGACGUUUUUGUUCACUUCAGCGCCAUCUCUGGCUCUGGCUUCAAAACGCUGGCAGAAGGUCAAGCUGUUGAGUUUGACGUGCAGAGCGGUCAAAAAGGCCCUCAGGCAGCGAACGUAACCGUUAUCUAAGCAUAGAGCGCG